AAAGAUUGUAAAGAGUAUUGGAAUACUUGUAAAUACUACAAUACCUGCUAUCCUUACACUGGAAAAUGUGAUGGAACAAAAAAUUGUCCAAAUGGAAAAGAUGAAAGUAAUUGUGGGAGUUACAAACCAAAAUAUAAAUUGACUGGUGGUCAAAAUUUGUGGUCUGGAAAAUUGAAAACGCUUUGGGGAUCGGAAUACUUGACAACAUGUUCCUACUACUCUCCCUCUGAAUCGAUAUUGAAUACGAUCUGCUCCAAUUUUGGUUUCAACGGAACUUCAUAUUCGAAAAGGAAAAGCGAAUUCAUUACAGGAGAUUACCUCUACUGCUAUUUUAAUGGAUAUGGAUAUAGCUCUUUGUAUUGUUAUAAGCGUUCUUGUGAGCAGUGUCAUUGCCGUGUGCCUUAUGUGUUCUGUUCUAAUACAACAUGUCCACUUGGUAAAGUGAGCUGUCCUUCAAGUCGCAAUGGAACUAAUUCUACAAAUACGUGUAUUUUCAAAGAAAGUAUAUGCGAUGGACAGCCUGACUGUGAUGAUCAUAGUGAUGAAGAAGAUUGUGGUAAG
rnacentral:lncRNA from 1 species